rnacentral:rRNA from 1 species
UGGCGGGGGCACGGGGGGCACGGGAGGAGCAGUGGGGAAUAUUGGACAAUGGGCGAAAGCCUGAUCCAGCCAUGUCGCGUGUGUGAAGAAGGUCUUCGGAUUGUAAAGCACUUUAAGUUGGGAGGAAGGGUUGUAGAUUAAUACUCUGCAAUUUUGACGUUACCGUCAGAAUAAGCACCGGCUAACUCUGUGCCAGCAGCCGCGGUAAUAAU